rnacentral:snoRNA from 9 species
CCCCACAGCUCCUGGGCCGCAGCUGUUCUCACGGCAGCAGCUGUGGCAUUCCUCUGUGGGAGAGAAACUGUUACACGAUUGAAACCGCUUUCUUAGCAAAACAGAAAGCGGGCAUGUGUGUGACAAACACAG